rnacentral:rRNA from 1 species
UACGGGGGGGCGAAGCGUUGUUCGGAAUUACUGGGCGUAAAGGGCUCGUAGGUGGCCAACUAAGUCAGACGUGAAAUCCCUCGGCUUAACCGGGGAACUGCAUCUGAUACUGGAUGGCUUGAGUUUGGGAGAGGGAUGCGGAAUUCCAGGUGUAGCGGUGAAAUGCGUAGAUAUCUGGAGGAACACCGGUGGCGAAGGCGGCAUCCUGGACCAACACUGACACUGAGGAGCGAAAGCCAGGGGAGCAAACGGG